GAUGAACGCUGGCGGCGUGCUUAACACAUGCAAGUCGAACGAAGCGAUUAAGCGGAAGUUUUCGGAUGGAAGCUUGAUUGACUGAGUGGCGGACGGGUGAGUAACGCGUGGGUAACCUGCCUCAUACAGGGGGAUAACAGUUAGAAAUGACUGCUAAUACCGCAUAAGCGCACAGUACCGCAUGGUACAGUGUGAAAAACUCCGGUGGUAUGAGAUGGACCCGCGUCUGAUUAGCUAGUUGGUGGGGUAACGGCCUACCAAGGCGACGAUGAGUAGCCGACCUGAGAGGGUGACCGGCCACAUUGGGACUGAGACACGGCCCAAACUCCUACGGGAGGCAGCAGUGGGGAAUAUUGCACAAUGGGCGAAAGCCUGAUGCAGCGACGCCGCGUGAGCGAAGAAGUAUUUCGGUAUGUAAACUUCUUUUACCAGGGACGAAGAACGUGACGGUACCUGGAGAAAAAGCAACGGCUAACUACGUGCCAGCAGCCGCUGUAACAC
rnacentral:rRNA from 1 species